rnacentral:rRNA from 1 species
AUUGAACGCUGGCGGCAUGCUUUACACAUGCAAGUCGAACGGCAACAGGGGAGCUUGCUCCCGCUGACGAGUGGCGAACGGGUGAGUAAUGCAUCGGAACGUGCCGAAUAGUGGGGGAUAACGCACCGAAAGGUGUGCUAAUACCGCAUACGCCCUGAGGGGGAAAGUGGGGGACCGCAAGGCCUCACGCUAAUCGAGCGGCCGAUGUCGGAUUAGCUAGUUGGUGGGGUAAAGGCUCACCAAGGCGACGAUCCGUAGCGGGUCUGAGAGGAUGAUCCGCCACACUGGGACUGAGACACGGCCCAGACUCCUACGGGAGGCAGCAGUGGGGAAUUUUGGACAAUGGGGGAAACCCUGAUCCAGCCAUGCCGCGUGUCUGAAGAAGGCCUUCGGGUUGUAAAGGACUUUUGUCCGGGAGGAAACCCUGAUCGUUAAUAGCGGUCGGGACUGACAGUACCGGAAGAAUAAGCACCGGCUAACUACGUGCCAGCCGCCGCAGUAAGAC